UACCUGGUUGAUCCUGCCAGCAGUCAUACGCUUGCUUCAAGGAUUAAGCCAUGCAAGUGCUGAGUAAAUGGUUAACAGUUGAUCUGCGAACGGCUCAUUAUACCAGUCGUAAUCUGCCCGGAUAAGUGGCUCAGCCAUCGAGUGGAUACCUCCACCAACCGUGAAGCUAAUACAUGGACGACAGAUUGGUACUCCGUCCAAGCAGCAAGGGGAAACCUGAGUUGUGGAGUAUCGAUGCUACUGGUCGGGAACAGAAACUAACCCGUUUCAUCGCGGAGUCUUCGUGGAAACAGACCACUGAGCGCAAGGAUUCCUUCGAGGAAACCGUGUCUGGUUGAACGACUGACCUAUCAGCUUGACUGUAGUGUAGUGGACUACAGUGGCCUUUACGGGUAACAGAGGAUCAGGGUUCGACUCUGGAGAGGGAGCCUGAGAAACGGCUACCAUGUCUAAGGACAGCAGCAGGCGCGCAAAUUGCCCAAUGCUAACACGCGCGAGGCAGCGACGAGAAGUAUUUACUGCGUUUACACUUUGUUGUGACGUAGAUAGAAAUGGAUGGCAUCCAAAACCACCACUGAGGAUCGAUCGGAGGGCAAGUCUGGUGCCAGCAGCCGCGGUAAUUCCAGCUCCGAGAGCGUAUACUGAUGCUGUUGCCGUUAAAACGCUCGUAGUUCGAUUAGAAGAAGCUUUGGUUUGUGAGUCAGUGUGUAUCGUCCGCGGUCACAUUCGAUGCAAGCUGUGUGGGUUUCUUCUGCUUUGGUGACUCGUGGUUGAAGUCUCAUUAACUUGAGAUGGAGAUUGCUACGCGGGUACCAUUGUCGAUACCGAAAACAAAACAGCGUGUUCAAAGCAGUCUAGCGACCGAAUGAUUCAGUUUGGGAUAUCAGAGGAUGGAGCGUUCAAGCUAUCUUUGUUGGUUUCUCAGUUUGGAUCGCGGAAUUGAUUGAACGCUUGUCCUGCGUGUCCUAUCUACUUGAGGUGGGUUCAGGCUUUCCAACAUGGUGUUAGGCUCGUAUGGAAACGUUCAGUCCUUCUGAAUUAACAGAGGCGACGGGGACUGUAUCUAUUGGAAGGCGAGGGGUGAAAUCCUUAGACCCUUCCAAGAGAAACGACAGCGAAGGCAUUCAGUAAUGGCGCCUUCAUUAAUCAAGAACGAGAGUGCAGGGAUCGAAGAUGAUCAGAUACCGUCGUAGUCUGCUACUGUAAACGAUGCGAACUCGGGACCGGAUUGGGUAUUCAUUCACAUGACAUUUCCGGGACCUCACUUCCUCUCCUUCGGGAAACCAUUAAGUGUCUGCGUUCGGGGGGAAGUGCGGUCGCAAGGCUGAAACUUAAAGGAUUUGACGGGACGACACCACAAGGCGUGGAUGCUGCGGCUUAAUUUGACUCAACGCGGGGAACCUUACCAGGUCAGGACGCGCGGCGGAUUGACAGAUUAAAAGCUCUUUCUUGAUUGCGUGUAUGGUGGUGCAUGGCCGCUCCUAGUUCGUAGGGUGACCCGUCUGGUUAACUCCGAUAACGAACGAGAUCCCGACCUCUCAUUGUCUGCAGGAUCGCUUUGUAGGUUCGACCUUGACUCUCGAGUCCUUGGGAAGGCUGAGAUGGCUGUAGAAAAGUCAGAGGGACGGCGCAUGUCGACAAUGCGCGGAAGGGCGGGCCAAUAGCAGGUCUGUGAUGCUCCUAGAUGUCCUGGGCUGCACGCGGCAUACAAUGAUCGUGGUAACAAGCUUGGUUUGUUUGAGCUCCUUACAAGACAUUGUUGGGGAACCUUUUCAAUCACGAUCGUAGUUGGGAUAGAUGCUUGCAACUAUUUGCCUUGAACCAGGAAUGCCUUGUAGGCGCACUUCAGCAAGGUGCACCGAAUACGUCCCUGCCGUUUGUACACACCGCCCGUCGCUGCAACCGAUUGGUUGACUAAUAGAACGGUUCUGGAGAGGCACCGUAUCAAUCCUUCUGGAAUGUUCGGAGUAUCGAAAUUCUGUGAUAUCUGUCAACUAGAGGAUGCAGAAGUCGUAACAAGGUUGCUGUAGGUGAACCUGCAGAAGGAUCAA
rnacentral:ncRNA from 12 species